UACAGAGGCCCCAAGCGUUUAGGCGGAAUCACUGGGCUUAAAGCGUGUGUAGGCGGGUUGGUAAGUACUUUGUGAAAUCCCACGGCUUAACUGUGGAAUUGCUUAGUAUACUGCCGAUCUUGAGUCAUUUAGGGGCAGCCGGAACAGAUGGUGGAGCGGUGAAAUGCGUAGAUAUCAGGAGGAAUACCAGCGGCGAAGGCGGCGCUCUGGGCCGGUACUGACGCUGAGGAGCGAAAGCGUGGGGAGCAAACAGG
rnacentral:rRNA from 1 species